AUGGCUGUCGUCAGCUCGUGUCGUGAGAUGUUGGGUUAAGUCCCGUAACGAGCGCAACCCUUGUCCUUAUUUGCCAUCAUUUAGUUGGGCACUCUAGGGAGACUGCCGGUGACAAACCGGAGGAAGGUGGGGACGACGUCAAGUCAUCAUGGCCCUUACGACCAGGGCUACACACGUGCUACAAUGGAGCGUACAAAGGGUUGCGACCUCGCGAGAGUGAGCUAAUCCCAUAAAACGUUUCGUAGUCCGGAUCGCAGUCUGCAACUCGACUGCGUGAAGUCGGAAUCGCUAGUAAUCGUAGAUCAGAAUGCUACGGUGAAUACGUUCCCGGGCCUUGUACACACCGCCCGUCACACCAUGGGAGUGGGUUGCAAAAGAAGUGGGUAGCAUAACCUUUGGGAGUGCGCUCACCACUUUGUGAUUCAUGACUGGGGUGAAGUCGUAACAAGGUAGCCGUAGGGGAACCUGCGGCUGGAUCACCUCCUUAAUGAGAUGACAGUCGUUAUUUCAGUUUAGUGCCUACCUCUAUUACUUGAUCUUCUUAGUUAGAACAUAAAUCUGUAUGACGUUCGUCAGUUACGAUGGGGCUAUAGCUCAGCUGGGAGAGCGCCUGGUUUGCAUCCAGGAGGUCUGCGGUUCGAUCCCGCAUAGCUCCACCAAUUCUUUUAAUACAGAUUUAAAACUACAUAGAAAGUUUGCUUGAACACUUUUAAAGUUUUAUUAAAUAAAUAGAACUCGAAAAAAAAGUAUUCAAGUAAACUUUUUUAAAGUUUAUUUAAUUGACUCCCUGGUUUAAAGCCAAGGUUUUAAUUAAAAAGUUCUUUAACAAUUCGGUGAAUGAAGACAUAUAUAUGUUUGUUCGAUGUCUUUGAUUGAGAAGCUCGGCGGUGAUUGUGAUGACCACCAAAGUGUUAAUUGAUCGUAAAGAAGACAUCUCCCAAAAAAACGAAUGUGUGUAUGCUGUAAUUUUAACAAGUUAUACAAGCGCAAAAUCUGUACGAAUGAAAGUCGUUAUUAGUUGCGGAAUUUUUCGAUGUAGUGAUGACCCCGGUAUACAAGACGGGGGUUUUGAUUCUGAGCACUGGAACUGGAAAGAAACUGGGUAGCCCUGGUUUGAAUUCUUCUGGGUAACAGCAGAGUCCAUGAUUAUAUGGUCAAGCAACAAAGCGUACGUGGUGGAUGCCUUGGCAGCUAGAGGCGAUGAAGGACGUUGUAGACUACGAAAAGCUUCGGGGAGCAGUCAAACAUGCUUUGAUCCGGAGGUGUCCGAAUGGGGAAACCCGG
rnacentral:sRNA from 1 species